UACGUAGGGGGCGAGCGUUGUCCGGAUUUAUUGGGCGUAAAGAGCGUGUAGGCGGCCAGGUAGGUCUGCUGUGAAAACUCGAGGCUCAACCUCGAGACGCCGGUGGAAACCAUCUAGCUAGAGUCCGGAAGAGGAGAGUGGAAUUCCUGGUGUAGCGGUGAAAUGCGCAGAUAUCAGGAAGAACACCCGUGGCGAAGGCGGCUCUCUGGGACGUGACUGACGCUGAGACGCGAAAGCGUGGGGAGCGAACAGG
rnacentral:rRNA from 1 species